AAGUCGAACGGGAUUCGGCCCGCAAGGGUCGAGUUCAGUGGCGAAAGGGCGAGUAAUACGUCGAUCAUCUACCCUUGGGACUGGGAUAACACCGGGAAACUGGUGCUAAUACCGGAUGGUCCAGUGAUGGUAAAGGCGGGGACCGCAAGGCCUGUCACCCAGGGAGGAAUCGAUGGCCUAUCAGCUAGUUGGUGAGGUAACGGCUCACCAAGGCGAAGACGGGUAGCCGGACUGAGAGGUUGGUCGGCCGCACUGGGACUGGGACACUGCCCAGACUCCUACGGGAGGCUGCAGUCGAGGAUCUUCCGCAAUGGGGGCAACCCUGACGGAGCGACGCCGCGUGCAGGAUGAAGGCCUUCGGGUCGUAAACUGCUGUCACACGUUAUGAAAAAGUGCGGGCUAAUACUCCGCACCUUGACAAAGGCGUGAAAGGAAGCCACGGCUAACUUCGUGCCAGCAGCCGCGGUAAGACGAAGGUGGCUAGCGUUGCUCGGAUUUACUGGGCAUAAAGCGCGCGUAGGUGGUCUUGUAAGCGGGGGAUGAAAGCCCAUGGCUCACCCAUGGAACUGUCCCCCGGACUGCAAGGCUCGAGGGCGGGAGGGGAGAACGGAAUUCCCGGUGUAGCGGUGAAAUGCGUAGAUAUCGGGAGGAACGCCGGUGGCGAAAGCGGUUCUCUGGUCCGCUCCUGACACUGAUGCGCGAAAGCUAGGGGAGCAAACAGGAUUAGAUACCCUGGUAGUCCUAGCUGUAAACGAUGGGCACUGGGUAGAGGUGGUGUCGAUACUGUCUCUGCCGUAACAAAUGCGUUAAGU
rnacentral:rRNA from 1 species